CACGUAGGGUGCGAGCGUUGUCCGGAAUUAUUGGGCGUAAAGAGCUCGUAGGCGGUGUGUCGCGUCGGCCGUGAAAACCUGCAGCUUAACUGUGGGCGUGCGGUCGAUACGGGCAUCACUGGAGUUCGGCAGGGGAGACUGGAAUUCCUGGUGAUAGCGGUGAAAUGCGCAGAUAUCAGGGGGAACACCGGUGGCGAAGGCGGGUCUCUGGGCCGAUACUGACGCUGAGGAGCGAAAGCGUGGGGAGCAAACAGG
rnacentral:rRNA from 1 species